GGGGAGGUGAACACUAACACAUCUUUAAAAAGGCUAAAAAUAGGUUUUUAUUUACUGGAUCUCCUGGGUGGUUUGAUUUUGGACUUGCUGUAGGUGGAGUUCCUAAAUAAUAUCUUCAUUUUAAUAAAUAUUCAUCAUAUCACAUCUAAUCACUUAUGAUCGAAUUAAUACACCUUUACUAGGAUAGUGACAUGUUGACAAAUGGCAGAAAAUAAAGGACCACUAAAGUCACCCAGGCCACAAACACC